rnacentral:rRNA from 1 species
AAUACAUAAUGCAUAUGGUGAAUGCCUUGACUCAUACUAGCGAUGAAGGGCGUAGCAGUCUGCGAUAAGCUUCGGGGAGGUGACGAGCAACCUUUGAUCCGGAGAUUUCCGAAUGGGAUAACCCAACCCAUUCUUCACUUCGUUCAGAAUGUAAUUUACAAUUUUCAAUUUACAAUUUUCAAAUAAAUUUUAAUUUCUAAUUUUUAAAUUUAGAAAUUAAAACAUUUAAAAUUGUUUAAAAAUUAAAAAUUUUAAAUUAAAAAUUUGCAAGUUUAUUUUAAUAGCAAAAUUUCUGGAUAAAGUGAAGAAUGGGUUAAUAUCAUCUGAAUUCAUAGGAUGAUAUGGCGUACCCGGCGAAUUGAAACAUCUUAUUAGCCGGAGGAAAAGACAUCAAUUGAGAUUCCCCAAGUAGUGGCGAGCGAACGGGGAAAAGCCUAAACCGUAUCCUUCGGGAUGCGGUGUUGCGAGAUAGUUGUACUCGUUUAAUCGGGGUAAUUUAUAUUUUAUUAGCAAAACGUCUCUGGAAAGAGCGGCCACAGAAAGUGAAAGCCUUGUAUGUGAAAAUGAAAUAUAUUUUAUGAAAUUAUUCUCAAGUAAGGCGGGACCGGUGAAAUCCCGUCUGAAUCCGGGGCCACUAUAGCUCCAAGGCUAAAUAUAGUAUGAGAUCGAUAGCGAACAAGUACCGUGAGGGAAAGGUGAAAAGUAUCCCGAUGAGGGAGAUGAAAUAGUAUCUGAAACCAUAUGCUAACGAAGAGUCAGAGCCCCGCCUCGGCGGGGUGAUGGCGUGCUUUUUGUAGAACGAUCCAGCGAGUUAGUUCUAUGUCGUUGACUAAGCAACUUUAUGUUGCGGAGUCGUAGUGAAAGCGAGCCUUAACGGGCGAACUUAAUGGCAUGGACUAGACCCGAAGCCAGGCGAGCUAUUUAUGAGCAGGGUGAAUCCCGAGUAAAAUCGGGAGGAGGCCCGAACCCACCAGCCGUGCAACACUGGGGGAUGACUUGUGAAUAGAGGAGAAAUUCCAAUCGAGCUUGGCGAUAGCUGGUUCUUCCCGAAAUAGCUUGAGGGCUAGCGUUUGAAAACUAUGCUUUGGAGGUAGAGCUACUGAAUGAGAAUUCGUGGUUCGCCAUAGGAUUCUCAACCAAACUCCGAAUUCCGAAGUAAUUAUUCAAGCAGUCAGUACUCCGGGGCUAAGCUCGGAGCACAAAAGGGAAAAAGCCCAUGAUCGCAAUCUAAGGUCCCAAAAUCUAUGUUAAGUGGUAAAGGAAGUAAAGUUUCUUAUACAUCUAGGAGGUUGGCUCAGAAGCAGCCAUCCUUUAAAGAGUGCGUAACAGCUCACUAGUCUAGAGACUUUGCGCCGAAAAUUCAACGGGGCUCAAACAUAGUACCGAAGAUGCGGGAAUUCUCUACGAAUUACGAAUUUGUACGAAUGUACGAAUGUGCGAAAUGCGAGUAAAAAAUUAUUCGUAAUUCGUAUAUUCGUACCGUAGUUAUUCGUAAUUCGUAGGGAAUUCGGUAGGGAAGCGUUCCAUAUGCGCUGAAGGUCGAGCGUGAGCGAGGCUGGAGUGUAUGGAAGUGAGAAUGCUGGAACGAGUAACCGCAAUUGGGGUGAGAACCCCCGACACCGAAAGUCUAAGGUUUCCUGGGCAAUGUCAAUCAUCUCAGGGUUAGUCGGGCCUAAGGCGAGGCCGAAAGGCGUAGUCGAUGGACACACGGUUAAUAUUCCGUGACUUUAAUAUUAUUCGAUGGAGUGACGUAUCCUAGUAGUUUUUGCCGAUUAUUGGAUUUUGGUAGAAAUAUUGAAAUGGCUAAACAGGCAAAUCCGUUUAGCAAUACAUUAAGAUAUUUCUGGAAUCCCGAUGCAAAUCGGGAGAACAAAAAUGAGCAGGGUAUCGAGAAAAGCUUCUAAGAUUAAUAAUAUUAGAACCGUACUAAAACCGACACAGGUAGACUGGGCGAGUAGCCUAAGGUGAACGAGUGAACCUUCGUUAAGGAACUCUGCAAAAUAGCGUCCGUAACUUAGGGAUAUGGACUGCCCGAUGCAAAUCGGGCCGCAGCUAAAGAUAUCAAGCGACUGUUUACCAAAAACACAGGUCUCUGCAAACCCGUAAGGGGAAGUAUAGGGGCUGACGCCUGACCAGUGCUGGAACGUUAACGGGAGCGGUGCAAGCCAAUCCCCGAAGCGCCAGUGAACGUCAGCGAUAACUAUAAUCGUUCUAAGGUAGCGAAAUUCCUUGACAGGUAAUGACGACAGAUAUUUGCCUGUAUGUUGUAGCGAUAUGACAUUAGAAAUCUGACUAAUAACGGUGAAACCUAAAUCCUAAAGAACUAUGGAUAUGGUAAUACCGUGGGAACUUGCUAUAAUUAUUUUAUAGUAAGACCUGUAACGACUGAAGCGAAAGCUGAGACUCGCGCAAUAUUUAUUCGCGGGUAAUACGUCAGCUCUUGUCGAACAAAAAAACAUAUGGAUUUUGCUUCUUAUGUUUCCGGCUUUAUUGAUGGUGAAGGAUGCUUUUCAGUAUCAUUCAACUUUCGAGAAAAGCUCAAAACUAAAAUUGAGGUUCGUCCGAGUUUUUCAAUCGGACAAAAUAUGCGCAGUUUGGAAAUUUUGAAAAUGAUUCAAAAAUUUUUCGAUUGUGGCAGUAUUCGUUUUUGCAAAAACGAUCAAUGCUAUAAAUAUGAAACAAGAAACAUUGGUGAUUUGCGGAAAAAAAUCAUUCCUCAUUUUAGAAAAUUUCCUUUGAUGACUAACAAGAAAGCAGAUUUUGAAAUUUUUUCGAAAAUUUGUGAAAAAAUAGCUCAAAUGAAACAUCUCAAUCCCGUUGGUCUUAAAGAGGUUAUUGAUUUAGCUUAUAAGAUGAAUGGGUAUGGAAAAAGGAAAUAUAAAAAAGCAGAACUCCUAAGUGUUUUGGCAAGAUGAAGAUAUAGUCUGAAUUUUCGCGAAAGCGAUCAAACGAAUUGAAAUUCUGUCCCGCAUUAAAGGCGUAACGACUUGGUAACUGUCUUAACGAAGAGCUCGGUGAAAUUGCAAUGGCGGUAAAGAUGCCGUCGACCUGCAGCAAGACGAAAAGACCCCGUGGAGCUUUACUACAACUUGGUAUUGAAUUUGAGAUCGUGCUGCCUAGAAUAGGUGGGAGGCUGUGAAAUUUCGACUCUGGUCGAGAUGGAGCCAAAAGUGUAAUACCACUCUGUAUAAUUUUAAAUUCUAACCCUGGGCUGUUAUGAGUUACUUUGACUUAUAAUUUGUGCCGUAAAAUAUGAUAAUGAAAAUUAUUAGGAUUAGAUAUGAAGUUGUAAUUAUCGUAUUUGCGGUUCACAAAAAAUUAUAAAGUCUUGGUUAUUCAUACCAGUCCGGGGACAGUGCCUGGUGGGUAGUUUGACUGGGGCGGUCGCCUCCUAAAUGGCAACGGAGGCGUUUACAAAGGUUGGCUAGGUCCGGAUGGAAAUCGGACUCGUCGUGCAAACGCAUAAGCCAGCUUUACUGCAAGACUCAUUAGUCGAUCAGUUACGAAAGUAGAAGUUAGUGAACCGACUGUCGCAUAUAGAUGCGCAGAAGAUCAUCAGAUAAAAGUUACCCCGGGGAUAACAGGCUGAUCCCUCCCAAGAGUCCAUAUCGACGGAGGGGUUUGGCACCUCGAUGUCGGCUCAUCGCAUCCUGGGGCUGGAGAAGGUCCCAAGGGUUUGGCU